rnacentral:snRNA from 1 species
GAUUUAGUAGGGUAGUAUCAUAGCCAAUGAGGUUAAUCUGAGGUGUGAUUAUUGCUAGUUGAAAACUUUAUUCCAAUCACAGAUUUUGGCAUUGUGAGUUGUUCCAAAGAAUUGCAGCGCUGUCAGUCUCUGGGUUGGUGUUAAAAACCACC